rnacentral:rRNA from 1 species
AACGAACGCUGGCGGCAGGCUUAACACAUGCAAGUCGAACGGGUGUAGCAAUACAUCAGUGGCAGACGGGUGAGUAACACGUGGGAACCUUCCUAGAGGUACGGAACAACUCAGGGAAACUUGAGCUAAUACCGUAUACGCUCUUGCGAGGAAAGAUUUAUCGCCUUUAGACGGGCCCGCGUCGGAUUAGCUAGUUGGUGGGGUAACGGCCUACCAAGGCGACGAUCCGUAGCUGAUCUGAGAGGAUGAUCAGCCACACUGGGACUGAGACACGGCCCAGACUCCUACGGGAGGCAGCAGUGGGGAAUCUUGGACAAUGGGCGCAAGCCUGAUCCAGCCAUGCCGCGUGAGUGAAGAAGGCCUCGGUUG